UCUCCCUCCUUGCCACUGCACGGCACUGCGCCAGCAGCGCCGUACCUUAAUUGUGGGGCGGUGCCAGACGCGCCUUUAUAAUCAGGUGAGUGGUCACACCUGACCCUCUCCUUCCAGUCCUUUGAGCCAGCGUGGCGGUGACUGCAGCUCGGCGUGGCGGAGCCCUUUGUUUGCGGUGGGCAUCGCAAACAUUCAACCCUCAGUGACUACAGACGGUGUAGGGGGAACAGAUCACCCCGCCGGAGGUUUGGUGGGAAGUAACGUGGUCUGCCUGUGUGGGCUGCAGGUAACUGCGGUUCUCCUCCUCCUGUUCUCUGUGACGCUGCGCCAGUGGUAUGUAUGUAUGUGCAUCAUUCUCUUUAAUUGAGUAUUUUUUUUGCAUUUAUUAAUUAGAGUGUUUUCUUUUGAUUAAUUUAAAGGUUGCAGUAAGUGGUGGCCUGUCAUCAGCCACCACACUCAUUGACUGUUGCUGUUUUGGCUUGGUGGUUUGGUUUUGCUGUCCCGUCUUUUUUUGCCUUGCUGUUCUGGUUUGGCUGUUGUGCUACAGUGGACCCUGGAUAUCGUCUCUGUCCGGUGCCGCAUUGGCCAAGUCGGGUUCGGCCCGAGUGUUUCGCCCCCGGACCUUGGCUCGUCUCCCCUCCCCUUCUCCGGACGGUCCGGCUCCUGCUCGUCUUUCCGGACCUGAUCCUCUACCUGUGGCGGG